rnacentral:rRNA from 1 species
CGAGGGUUAACCCUGCCGGACCCAUGACCUUACCACGGGAAGGAAAGCUACAACCCGACAGGUCGGGGAGGAAAGCCACGGCUCCAGCGGCAGACGAGCGAACAACGCGCCGUCGACCAAGAUCCGCCGCCGCCGCCUCCUCCGCCUCCGAGCUCCUUCCGCCGAUGGCAGAAGCGAGGUGUUCAUGAUCCAAUGUCCUCCCCUCCAGCGACGGCUACUAACCGCGGCCGUCACCGUCCUCCUUCCCCGGAUCUCCCCUCCACCUCGAAGCUUCGACCCCCUCUAGCGACCAUGACGGCGACAGUUCUUUGGUCAUUUUCUACCUCCUCCGGUCAAGGAAGUGAGCACCGCCUUGUUCUCUCAAAUCAUUCCCACCAUUGCCAAUCACCGGUUUCCUAAAGCUAACCAAUGAAAAUGUUCAAAGAAGUUGAUGGUGGAAGUUUCAGUAGAGUGAUUAUUCCAGUGACAAUGCAUUUCAGCAUGGAUCAGUCACAUAUGCACAUCUUUUUAAUGGAACUAAAUGUGUCGUUCCCCUCCUUGGAGGCGUCGGUAUGGACUGAUCCUCUCACUUCCCCUGCCCCUAGGUCUCCCGGGCGAAAGCCCUAACUUUGUUGGGCGGCGGCGGUGCUCUCGACGCUGUUCCCUUCUUGAAGGCUCCGCUUUGUGAGCCUUUGUGGUCUGCUGGCGUUUGUGGGUGGUGGGCGGCAGCGACGGUGUGGCCCUCUUGUCCUAACGGUGUGGCCCUCUUGUCC